rnacentral:lncRNA from 1 species
GAAAGACUGGUUAUUCUACAGCUGCUAAUCUAGCCCACAAGUAACUGUAAUGACCUGGUACACUGUAAUGACCAGCAAUCUGGUCAUUGCACAUGACCUGGUACGUAAUCUGUGGGGCCUGGUGCAACAUGAAAAUUAAGAAUUCUAAGCAAGUAAGAACAAGGCACUGAGCCAAGUGCAGAGCCCUUCUAAGCCUUAUGCAACAGGAUAGGUUACACAGACACAAAGCCAGGCCUACACUCAGGAAAAAAUGGGCAGAAGAGAAUAUGAAUCCAGUUGUCUGGAUUUACUUUCAGAAAAGCUUUUGCAAAAAAGAGAAACUGUCACUGGAAGAGGUCUAAGAUUGGCUUAUGGUGAUAAAAGCAUUCAUUCCAAAUAUCACCUAUUUAUUUCUUCAUUCAAACUCACCAAAAACAAGGCACAUUGCUAGUUUCUUGGAUACAAAUUUUAAAAUGACAUUCUCCAUCUUCAUGGUGCUCACACUCCAGUGGGCAAACUAACAUGAAAAUAGACCUGUAAUCUGAGGCCACAGACGGUUAUAAUGGAAGAGUCCUGGAAACUGAAUCANNNNNNNNNNNNNNNNNNNNNNNNNNNNNNNNNNNNNNNNNNNNNNNNNNNNAACAAAAUUAGUGAAGUUACCCUUCUAAAAAAAGUUGCUUUUCUGUGUGGCAAACUUCUCAAAGGAAGCCAAGAAUUAGGCUGAUUUAGUGGUCUACAAGUUGACUUUCUUUUUGAGGAACAAGGCACAUCAUUUCGCCUAUGUAGAAAUUUUGUCCAGUGUAUACCUACUUAUUUUUCACCUUAAUGAAGUACGGCCCACACUAUUCCUUUCUUCACUAUAUCCUCUCGAAACAUUUAUCCCAAUCUCAUUGCCAGAGGUGGGCAGACCAAAUAAAUUGAUCCAUUUUCCUGAUGUUUUUGGAGACUGCUUGGCAAGAAGAGAAUGGAGAAAACUCCAUUUAAUGUCAGGCUUAAGUUAAAAAGAGAAAAAAAGAGGCAGUUUGUUUUCAGCUCAGUUCAGUCGCUCAGUCAUGUCCGACUCUGCGACCCCAUGAA